rnacentral:misc_RNA from 1 species
GAUGAAGAACGUAGCGAAAUGCGAUACGUAAUGUGAAUUGCAGAAUUCAGUGAAUCAUCGAAUCUUUGAACGCAUAUUGCGCUCUCUGGUAUUCCGGAGAGCAUGCUUGUUUGAGUAUCAGUAAACACCUCAACUUUCAUAUCUUUUUUGAAAUGGGAGUUGGACUUGAGUGAUCCCAACGCUUUUCCUCACCGAAAAGUGGCGGGUUACUUGAAAUGCAGGUGCAGCUGGACUUUUCUCUGAGCUAUAAGCAUAUCUAUUUAGUCUGCCUAAAAACAGAUUAUUACCUUUGCUGCAGCUAACAUAAAGGAGAUUAGUUCUUGUGCUGACUGAUGCAGGAUUCACAAAGACAGGCUUCGGCCGACUUUGUAAACUCGAUCUCAAAUCAAGUAAGACUACCCGCUGAACUUAAGCAUAUCAAUAAGCGGAGGA